GAAAUGCAAUAGCAAGGUAUGGAUCUGAUUUUGAUCUCAGUGCAAGCAAAGAACAAAAAGUUGAGAGAACUAGGAAGAUUUGAGCAAUGAUUGGAUAUAUGAUGACAUUAAGAAAUAACGUACCUAUUUUUUAAGGUCAAAGUGGAAGAGAGGGAGAAGAGACCUUUUCAGAGGGAUGACCUGUAGCUCUGGUGUGCUGGGGAGCCUGAGGCUGGGCAAGAGUCAGGACCUGCUGAGCUGGCUGGAACAGGAUUUCAUGGUGUAACUCAUGAGAGAUGACUCAAUGCCAAGGACUGAGGUUAUAGCAGGGUGUUUACAGCAGUGGCCAUACUCCAAAGUCCUUGACAACUGGUCUUG